UGCCAAGCGUUUGGCCUAGUCUGCCGAUCC
rnacentral:sRNA from 1 species